rnacentral:rRNA from 1 species
GACGAACGCUGGCGGCGUGCUUAACACAUGCAAGUCGAACGGUGAAGCGCCUUCCUUUUUGGUGGGUGUGGAUGAGUGGCGAACGGGUGAGUAACACGUGAGUAACCUGCCCCCUUCUUCUGGAUAACCGCAUGAAAGUGUGGCUAAUACGGGAUAUUCUGGGUCUGUCGCAUGAUGGGUCUGGGAAAGAUAUUGUUUCGGUGGGGGAUGGGCUCGCGGCCUAUCAGCUUGUUGGUGGGGUGAUGGCCUACCAAGGCGGUGACGGGUAGCCGGCCUGAGAGGGUGGACGGUCACACUGGGACUGAGACACGGCCCAGACUCCUACGGGAGGCAGCAGUGGGGAAUAUUGCACAAGGGGCGCAAGCCUGAUGCAGCGACGCCGCAUGAGGGAUGGAGGCCUUCGGGUUGUGAACCUCUUUCGCCAGUGAAGCAGGCCUGCCUCGUUUGUGGGUGGGUUGACGGUAGCUGGAUAAGAAGCGCCGGCUAACUACGUG